AAACACACGCUCCUAGACACAACCCACUCCGCACACACAUGCACACACACUUGCAGACAGAAACACACCUUCACAACCUCAGCACACCGGCCUGACCCGCUGCAGACGCGGAAACCUCCACACACGCUUAGCAGUCAGCGGUGCACUUGCUAUGACAACACAGAUGAUUGAAACCUGAGCUGGACGUCUGGCUGCGUGAGGAAAAACUAUCCCUGCAGGAGGUUCAGAAUCCGAAGUUGCCGGAUCCCAUCUGUGCCAACACAGAGAAGGGAUUUACGGUUUACACUGUGCUGGCUGACGUCCAGCUUCUUCCCCCGGAGCUGCUUGGAAGCUACAGCAAAAUAAUAAAAGAAACGUCUCUGUUUACUCAUCACAA